rnacentral:rRNA from 1 species
CUUGAUGUGUAGGAUAGGUGGGAGGCUUAGAAGUGUGGACGCCAGUCUGCAUGGAGCCGACCUUGAAAUACCACCCUUUAAUGUUUGAUGUUCUAACGUUGACCCGUAAUCCGGGUUGCGGACAGUGUCUGGUGGGUAGUUUGACUGGGGCGGUCUCCUCCUAAAGAGUAACGGAGGAGCACGAAGGUUGGCUAAUCCUGGUCGGACAUCAGGAGGUUAGUGCAAUGGCAUAAGCCAGCUUGACUGCGAGCGUGACGGCGCGAGCAGGUGCGAAAGCAGGUCAUAGUGAUCCGGUGGUUCUGAAUGGAAGGGCCAUCGCUCAACGGAUAAAAGGUACUCCGGGGAUAACAGGCUGAUACCGCCCAAGAGUUCAUAUCGACGGCGGUGUUUGGCACCUCGAUGUCGGCUCAUCACAUCCUGGGGCUGAAGUAGGUCCCAAGGGUAUGGCUGUUCGCCAUUUAAAGUGGUACGCGAGCUGGGUUUAGAACGUCGUGAGACAGUUCGGUCCCUAUCUGCCGUGGGCGCUGGAGAACUGAGGGGGGCUGCUCCUAGUACGAGAGGACCGGAGUGGACGCAUCACUGGUGUUCGGGUUGUCAUGCCAAUGGCACUGCCCGGUAGCUAAAUGCGGAAGAGAUAAGUGCUGAAAGCAUCUAAGCACGAAACUUGCCCCGAGAUGAGUUCUCCCUGACUCCUUGAG